CUGGUCUUGACAUCCCAGGAACCCUGUAGAGAUACGGGGGUGCCUUCGGGAACCUGGAGACAGGUGCUGCAUGGCUGUCGUCAGCUCGUGUCGCGAGAUGUUGGGUUAAGUCCCGCAACGAGCGCAACCCUUAUCCUUUGUUGCCAGCGGUCCGGCCGGGAACUCAAAGGAGACUGCCAGUGAUAAACUGGAGGAAGGUGGGGAUGACGUCAAGUCAUCAUGGCCCUUACGACCAGGGCUACACACGUGCUACAAUGGCGCAUACAAAGAGAAGCGACCUCGCGAGAGCAAGCGGACCCCAUAAAGUGCGUCGUAGUCCGGAUUGGAGUCUGCAACUCGACUCCAUGAAGUCGGAAUCGCUAGUAAUCGUGGAUCAGAAUGCCACGGUGAAUACGUUCCC
rnacentral:rRNA from 1 species